rnacentral:ncRNA from 1 species
GGGUACCCUCUGGUAUACCCAAAUCUGCGUGUAAAUAGUCCGUUUCCAUUGGCCUGGACGGGCGGUUUGUGAAUC